rnacentral:rRNA from 1 species
AAGAUUAAGCCAUGCAUGUCUAAGUACAAACUUUUACACGGUAACACCGCGAAUGGCUCAUUAAAUCAGUUAUGGUUUAUUAGAUGGUGCUAUCCUACUCGGAUAACUGUGGUAAUUCUAGAGCUAAUACGUGAUACAAAGCUCCGACCCUCGUUUGGAAAGAGCGCCUUUAUUAGAUCAAGAUCAACCGGUUUGGCGCGACGUGGCGUUUUCGCCGUCAAAAGCGGAGCGCGCUCGCGCCGUGCCGCCAUAAAGCGUGAUGAUUCUGAAUAACGUGUUUUCUCGCCGAUCGUAUGGCCCCGCGCCGACGACGCAUCUUUCAAAUGUCUGCCCUAUCAACUUUCGUUGGUAGAUGUUAUGCUUACCAAGGUACUUACGGGUAACGGGGGAUCAGGGUUCGAUCCCGGAGAGGGAGCAUGAGAAACGGCUACCACAUCCAAGGAAGGCAGCAGGCGCGCAAAUUACCCACUCUUAGCACGAGGAGGUAGUGACGAAAAAUAACAAUACGGGACUCUUUCGAGGCCCCGUAAUUGGAAUGAGUACACUCUAAACCCGUUAACGAGGAUCGAUUGGAGGGCAAGUCUGGUGCCAGCAGCCGCGGUAAUUCCAGCUCCAAUAGCGUAUAUUAAAGCUGUUGCAGUUAAAAAGCUCGUAGUCGGACGUCGGGCGGCGGCCAACGGUUCGGUUCCGUGCCGAUUACUGCUGGUCGCGGCCUCCACGCCGGCCGUCUCGUUUGGGUGCUCUUAACUGCAGUGCCUCGAGUAGCCGGAGCGUUUACUUUGAAAAAAUUAGAGUGUUCAAGGCAGGCCACGAGCCUGAAUGAUGGUGCAUGGAAUAAUGGAAUAGGACCUCGGUUCUAUUUUGUUGGUCUUCGGAACUGGAGGUAAUGAUUAAUAGGGACCGACGGGGGCAUUCGUAUUGCGGCGUUAGAGGUGAAAUUCUUGGAUCGUCGCACGACGGACUACUGCGAAAGCAUUUGCCAAGCAUGUUUUCAUUGAUCAAGAGCGAAAGUCAGAGGAUCGAAGACGAUCAGAUACCGUCCUAGUUCUGACCAUAAACGAUGCCGACUAGCGAUCCGGCUCCGUUGCUUCAUAAGACUGGCCGGGCAGCUCCCGGGAAACCAAAGUUUCUGGGUUCCGGGGGAAGUAUGGUUGCAAAGCUGAAACUUAAAGGAAUUGACGGAAGGGCACCACCAGGAGUGGAGCCUGCGGCUUAAUUUGACUCAACACGGGAAAACUCACCCGGCCCGGACACCGUAAGGAUUGACAGAUUGAAAGCUCUUUCUUGAUUCGGUGGGUGGUGGUGCAUGGCCGUUCUUAGUUGGUGGAGCGAUUUGUCUGGUUAAUUCCG